GAUCCUGGCUCAGAACGAACGCUGGCGGCGUGGAUAAGACAUGCAAGUCGAACGCGAUUUUCUCGGUUAGCAAUAACUGAGGAAAUUGAGUGGCGAAUGGGUGCGUAACACGUGGGAAUUUAUCCGGAAGUGGGGGAUAGCUCGUCGAAAGGCGAAUUAAUACCGCAUAUGCCUGUAAGGGCAAAGUGGGGGACCGCAAGGCCUCACGCUAUCGGAGGAGCCCGCGCCCUAUCAGCUAGUUGGUGAGGUAAUGGCUCACCAAGGCUUAGACCGGUAGCUGGUCUGAGAGGACGACCAGCCACACUGGAACUGAGACACGGUCCAGACUCCUACGGGUGGCAGCAGUCGAGAAUUUUUCUCAAUGGAGGCAAUCCUGAUCGAGCCACUCCGCGUGGAGGAUGAAGGGCUUCGGCUCGUAAACUGCUGUCGCCGACAAACAAGACAUCCUGAUUAAUACCUCGAAUGUUUGAUGGUACCCGGAGAGGAAGGGGCGGCUAACUCUGUGCCAGCAGCCGCGGUGAUACAUAGGCCGCAAGCGUUGUUCGGAUUUACUGGGCGUAAAGGGUGUGUAGGGGGUUAGGUUAGACUGACGUGAAAUCCCCGAGCUCAACUUGGGAACUGCAUUUGAUACUGUCUAGCUAGAGGUUCGGAGAUGAGGAUGGAAUUCUCGGUGUAGCGGUGAAAUGCGUAGAUAUGCGAGAGGAACACCGAUGGCGAAAGCAGUCCCUCUANGACGUGNUAUCUGACCCUCAUACACGAAAGCGUGGGGAGCAAACAGGAUUAGAUACCCCGGUAGUCCUGGCAGUAAACGAUGCUCACUGAGAUGUAGGC
rnacentral:rRNA from 1 species